AACGGAAAAGCAGUACAGCAUUAUCACAGCACAUUUUAACAAGUGGACACACAGCUGAUUUCGCGAAUACAAAUAUUAUUGACAAAGAAAGAAGAAAACAGAUUCGAUACACAAUACACGAUAGAGAACCUUAGAAUUACGCAAAAACGAGAAAUGACAAUUAAUAAGAAGGAAGAUACAGACAACAUUGCGGCCGCAUACAUAACUUGUUUACAAAAAUGAAAUUUUCAGUACUGACAAAACUACCACAUCAAGUGGUAUGGAUAUAUUUUCUUUUUUAGUGAUUAAGUAUUUAUACAUAUACAUAUAUAUGUUUGAAUAUCUAAACAAUAUAAAAUAAACACUACCCCUGAGGAUGCUAAAAAAGUUUUAGCGAAACGUCGAGUGAAAAGUGGAAUAAAGUAGUUUUAUUCGCACCAGAACUGAAAAGAUCAGACUAGCCUACAAACAUAAAAUAAAA